rnacentral:rRNA from 1 species
GAGUUUGAUCGUGGCUCAGAUUGAACGCUGGCGACAUGCCUUACACAUGCAAGUCGAACGGCAGCAUGAUCUAGCUUGCUAGAUUGAUGGCGAGUGGCGAACGGGUGAGUAAUACAUCGGAACGUGCCCUGUAGUGGGGGAUAACUAGUCGAAAGAUUAGCUAAUACCGCAUACGACCUGAGGGUGAAAGUGGGGGACCGCAAGGCCUCAUGCUAUAGGAGCGGCCGAUGUCUGAUUAGCUAGUUGGUGGGGUAAAGGCCCACCAAGGCGACGAUCAGUAGCUGGUCUGAGAGGACGAUCAGCCACACUGGGACUGAGACGCGGCCCAGACUCCUACGGGAGGCAGCAGUGGGGAAUUUUGGACAAUGGGCGAAAGCCUGAUCCAGCAAUGCCGCGUGUGUGAAGAAGGCCUCGGUGUAAGC